CGAGCCGCUACUCGACAUUCCAGGGCUUGACAAGAUGAAAUGGCGGGGGAGAGCCCUUACCGCUCUGGCGUUACAGCUGUACACUAUAGCCAACUGUACGCGCGUCUCUCCUGGCAACCGCAAGGCACGUUAACCGCGACUAGAUGUAGUGAGCGGAAUAUAGCAGAGUAUAUGGCCAGACAAAGGGAGAGAGAGGGAGAGAGAGAGAGUGAAAAGAGGGAGGUCUACACAGAGUUUUUACCCCAUCUACAAUGUAGCAGUGAGGCUCCUCACUGCGACCAAGAGCAGAGAAGAUAUCUCCCCUGGCCCAGUAAAAGUGCAAAGAUGAUCAAGACCUUUCUUCUGCUGCUCUCAGACUGUGGAACAGUUCAUCCUGUACUGUCAAGUCUUCUCCAUCUAUUAUCACAACUUCACAUCAUACUAUUACUCCCUCAGUUUUAUUUCAAUCAAUAAAUCAACACGGC